AUAGGGGAGCCGGAGGGAAACCGAGUCUUAAUUGGGCGUUAAGUUGCAGGGUAUAGACCCGAAACCCGGUGAUCUAGCCAUGGGCAGGUUGAAGGUUGGGUAACACUAACUGGAGGACCGAACCGACUAAUGUUGAAAAAUUAGCGGAUGACCUGUGGCUGGGGGUGAAAGGCCAAUCAAACCGGGAGAUAGCUGGUUCUCCCCGAAAGCUAUUUAGGUAGCGCCUCGUGAAUUCAUCUCCGGGGGUAGAGCACUGUUUCGGCUAGGGGGCCAUCCCGGCUUACCAACCCGAUGCAAACUGCGAAUACCGGAGAAUGUUAUCACGGGAGACACACGGCGGGUGCUAACGUCCGUCGUGAAGAGGGAAACAACCCAGACCGCCAGCUAAGGUCCCAAAGUCAUGGUUAAGUGGGAAACGAUGUGGGAAGGCCCAGACAGCCAGGAUGUUGGCUUAGAAGCAGCCAUCAUUUAAAGAAAGCGUAAUAGCUCACUGGUCGAGUCGGCCUGCGCGGAAGAUGUAACGGGGCUAAACCAUGCACCGAAGCUGCGGCAGCGAACGUAUCACCCAAGACAACUUUACGGAGUUGACGAUUGACGGAGCGAAGCGACGUCAAAGCGUUCAUUAAAGUCGAGUUGGCUUAGGGAUACGUUCGUUGGGUAGGGGAGCGUUCUGUAAGCCUGUGAAGGUGUGUCGUGAGGCAUGCUGGAGGUAUCAGAAGUGCGAAUGCUGACAUAAGUAACGAUAAAGCGGGUGAAAAGCCCGCUCGCCGGAAGACCAAGGGUUCCUGUCCAACGUUAAUCGGGGCAGGGUGAGUCGACCCCUAAGGCGAGGCCGAAAGGCGUAGUCGAUGGGAAACGGGUUAAUAUUCCCGUACUUGGUGUUACUGCGAAGGGGGGACGGAGAAGGCUAUGUUGGCCGGGCGACGGUUGUCCCGGUUUAAGCGUGUAGGUGUGUGUUCCAGGUAAAUCCGGUUCACUUUAACACUGAGGCGUGACGACGAGGCACUACGGUGCUGAAGCAACAAAUGCCCUGCUUCCAGGAAAAGCCUCUAAGCAUCAGGUAACACGAAAUCGUACCCCAAACCGACACAGGUGGUCAGGUAGAGAAUACCAAGGCGCUUGAGAGAACUCGGGUGAAGGAACUAGGCAAAAUGGUGCCGUAACUUCGGGAGAAGGCACGCUGACACGUAGGUGAAGUGAUUUACUCAUGGAGCUGAAGUCAGUCGAAGAUACCAGCUGGCUGCAACUGUUUAUUAAAAACACAGCACUGUGCAAACACGAAAGUGGACGUAUACGGUGUGACGCCUGCCCGGUGCCGGAAGGUUAAUUGAUGGGGUCAGCGUAAGCGAAGCUCCUGAUCGAAGCCCCGGUAAACGGCGGCCGUAACUAUAACGGUCCUAAGGUAGCGAAAUUCCUUGUCGGGUAAGUUCCGACCUGCACGAAUGGCGUAAUGAUGGCCAGGCUGUCUCCACCCGAGACUCAGUGAAAUUGAACUCGCUGUGAAGAUGCAGUGUACCCGCGGCAAGACGGAAAGACCCCGUGAACCUUUACUAUAGCUUGACACUGAACAUUGAGCCUUGAUGUGUAGGAUAGGUGGGAGGCUUUGAAGUGUGGACGCCAGUCUGCAUGGAGCCGACCUUGAAAUACCACCCUUUAAUGUUUGAUGUUCUAACGUGGACCCGUAAUCCGGGUUGCGGACAGUGUCUGGUGGGUAGUUUGACUGGGGCGGUCUCCUCCUAAAGAGUAACGGAGGAGCACGAAGGUUGGCUAAUCCUGGUCGGACAUCAGGAGGUUAGUGCAAUGGCAUAAGCCAGCUUGACUGCGAGCGUGACGGCGCGAGCAGGUGCGAAAGCAGGUCAUAGUGAUCCGGUGGUUCUGAAUGGAAGGGCCAUCGCUCAACGGAUAAAAGGUACUCCGGGGAUAACAGGCUGAUACCGCCCAAGAGUUCAUAUCGACGGCGGUGUUUGGCACCUCGAUGUCGGCUCAUCACAUCCUGGGGCUGAAGUAGGUCCCAAGGGUAUGGCUGUUCGCCAUUUAAAGUGGUACGCGAGCUGGGUUUAGAACGUCGUGAGACAGUUCGGUCCCUAUCUGCCGUGGGCGCUGGAGAACUGAGGGGGGCUGCUCCUAGUACGAGAGGACCGGAGUGGACGCAUCACUGGUGUUCGGGUUGUCAUGCCAAUGGCACUGCCCGGUAGCUAAAUGCGGAAGAGAUAAGUGCUGAAAGCAUCUAAGCACGAAACUUGCCCCGAGAUGAGUUCU
rnacentral:rRNA from 1 species